rnacentral:rRNA from 1 species
GCCAGACUCCUACGGGAGGCAGCAGUGGGGAAUAUUGGGCAAUGGGCGCAAGCCUGACCCAGCAACGCCGCGUGAAGGAAGAAGGCUUUCGGGUUGUAAACUUCUUUUCUCAGGGACGAAGAAAGUGACGGUACCUGAGGAAUAAGCCACGGCUAACUACGUGCCAGCAGCCGCGGCAAUACGUAGGUGGCAAGCGUUAUCCGGAUUUAUUGGGUGUAAAGGGCGUGUAGGCGGGAGCGCAAGUCAGAUGUGAAAACGCAGGUCUCAACCCUGAGCCUGCAUUUGAAACUGUGUUUCUUGAGUGUUGGAGAGGCAAUCGGAAUUCCGUGUGUAGCGGUGAAAUGCGUAGAUAUACGGAGGAACACCAGUGGCGAAGGCGGAUUGCUGGACAGUAACUGACGCUGAGGCGCGAAAGCGUGGGAGCAAACAGGAUUAGAUCCCCCUGUA